UACGAAGGGGGCUAGCGUUGUUCGGAAUUACUGGGCGUAAAGCGCACGUAGCGGGUCGUUAAGUCAGGGGUGAAAUCCCAGAGCUCAACUCUGGAACUGCCUUUGAUACUGGCGACCUUGAGGCCGGAAGAGGUUAGUGGAAUUCCCAGUGUAGAGGUGAAAAUUCGUAGAUAUUGGGAAGAACACCAGUGGCGAAGGCGGCUAACUGGUCCGGAUCUGACGCUGAGGUGCGAAAGCGUGGGGGAGCAAACAG
rnacentral:rRNA from 1 species